GUAGAGGUACGGCCUCAUCCGCUGUUACUUCAGGCCCAGGGUUGUAGAGGUACGGCCUCAUCCGCUGUUACUUCAGGCCCAGGGUUGUAGAGGUAUGGCCUCAUCCACUGAUACUUCGGGCCCAGGGUUGUAGAGGUAUGGCCUCAUCCACUCUUAAUUCAGGCCCAGGGUUGUAGAGGUACGGCCUCAUCCACUGUUACUUCGGGCCCAGGGUUGUAGAGGUACGGCCUCAUCCACUGUUACUUCAGGCCCAGGGUUGUAGAGGUACGGCCUCAUCCGCUGAUACUUCAGGCCCAGGGUUGUAGAGGUACGGCCUCAUCCGCUGUUACUUCAGGCCCAGGGUUGUAGAGGUACGGCCUCAUCCGCUGUUACUUCAGGCCCAGGGUUGUAGAGGUACGGCCUCAUCCGCUGUUACUUCAGGCCCAGGGUUGUAGAGGUAUGGCCUCAUCCACU
rnacentral:lncRNA from 1 species